UGGGGAAUAUUGGACAAUGGGGGGAACCCUGAUCCAGCCAUGCCGCGUGUGUGAAGAAGGCCUUAUGGUUGUAAAGCACUUUAAGCGAGGAGGAGGGUACUGGUAUUAAUACUACCAGGUACUGGACGUUACUCGCAGAAUAAGCACCGGCUAACUCUGUGCCAGCAGCCGCGGUAAUACAGAGGGUGCGAGCGUUAAUCGGAUUUACUGGGCGUAAAGCGUGCGUAGGCGGCUAAUUGAGUCGGAUGUGAAAUCCCCGAGCUUAACUUGGGAAUUGCAUUCGAUACUGGUUAGCUAGAGUGUGGGAGAGGAUGGUAGAAUUCCAGGUGUAGCGGUGAAAUGCGUAGAGAUCUGGAGGAAUACCGAUGGCGAAGGCAGCCAUCUGGCCUAACACUGACGCUGAGGUACGAAAGCAUGGGGAGCAAACAGGAUUAGAUACCCUGGUAGUCCAUGCCGUAAACGAUGUCUACUAGCCGUUGGUCUCUUUGAGGGAUUAGUGGCGCAGCUAACGCGAUAAGUAGACCGCCUGGGGAGUACGGUCGCAAGACUA
rnacentral:rRNA from 1 species